rnacentral:lncRNA from 1 species
GAGACAAGGCGGCUUCCUGCCCUACCAUCGAGUAGACUCCGGCUAGAACAUCCUUCCCCUGGGACUCGCCAGCCUCGGCGGCUCUGCUGCUCCCUCGGAGGACCACGUCGGCCGCAGGAAUCUGGACUUAUCGCUGAGGGGCGGAGCUUCGGCCCCAUUCAGCGCGGCCUUUCCACCCUUGUUCCCUCUGACCCCUACCCCCAAAGUUGAUGGUGAAGGAUAAGCUUCCCCAAAUACAGGGUUUCUCGAGCUCUUAGUAUUGAAAUUUUCAGGAAAGAGACAUCAGGAGCAGCUGAACUCAAAUGUGAAAUAAAUGUCGCACCAGCUGAAUCAGAAGCAUCAUUUUAUGCAUUUGAAGUAAAAUUUUUUUCAAUAUUAUGGAGCCAUCUUUACUGUGCAUUUCAUGAUUAUUUUUCCUUUUUCUGCCCAAUUUCAUUAUUGGGGUGUGAAUCCUUGUUGAUGUUUACUGUCUAUUUAUUUUGAAGAUACUAAUCCUAUAUUUUUGUAAGUCAAUGUCCUCCGGCCAGGACUACAAGAAACCAACUUUAAUUAAGCAAGUUGGUUUUAUUACUCAGUCAUGAGUUAUGGAGAAUUUCAGGGCAUCUCAGCACGAGGAUGUUAGGAAGAUCCUCUACAGAUUUUGGGCUUUUAUUUGGGGAUUUUGGAAAGGGUUGAAGGAAGCAGGCUUUGCUCCAGACUGAAUGCUGCAGGAAGAUACUCAGUACAGUGAGUAUAUUUUAUAUAUCUUUUGUAUAGGGAGGACAGGUGAGAGAGAUACUAAAGCUGUAAUUGGUCAAGAAGUAGCAGCUAUAGUACUGGUAUAAAGAUAGAUACAUCGACGUGUCUCUAUUCUGGAACAGAACAAACCCUUGCGUGUGGAGUCCUAAUUAGGGAAAAGGAGUCAGGCUGGCUGGACGAAGGGAAGCAAAAGGAGAAAGCAGACAAGCCAUAAGUCUGCCUUUCUUCGUGGUCCAGGACACAUAGCCCUGCUGUGCAAAUAACUCACAAUCUGCCUGUGCCCAGCCAUCACCAGACCCUCAGCUGAUAGAAAAAUGGAAGUUAGUUCACUGCAACCCUGGCAUUAUUAGUACUGCACAAAGCCCUCUUCCACCCACAACAUAAGCACCAUUCUACAAAAUCCCCAGCAAGCCUUUGUUUCCUAGCAGUCAGCUUCUCUCUUGCUGACCUGCCUGUUGCACCCUUGCAAUGUAUUUU